rnacentral:lncRNA from 1 species
CUAGGAUCCAACAACAUUAUUUACAUAUUAGAAAAGGGAUGCCGUAAUCCAACAUGCAAACAAUUUGAAGGUAAGUGAAUGACGAUUCAUUGAACUUUUCAAUGGCACGUUUAAAUCUCGAGAUGUCCCUCUCGUUUGUGGUUGGGAUGCCGAGGAUCACAAAGUGGGUGUGAAUAACCAAUCAAAUCUACAUGGUGCCUUCAUUGUUACAAUCACCUAUUCGAUGUGCCGGUAAACUACACACGCUCUACCGAACUAUGAUAAACAAUGAAUCACCCUUUGCCACCUUUUCUUAGAACCAAUUAGUGUGCCGGUAAACCACACACGCUCCACUAACUUCUUAGCAAGGGUGCAAAGUGUAAUUUCAUGGGUUUGCAUCAAUUCACUUUUCCUAAAGUAACUAGGAUUAGGAAUUUGAAAAACAUGUAGUUACUUUCUAUUUCAAUAUUAUACUUUUAAUGAGGAGAUAGUAUUGCUCUAUCCUACCCCUUCGGCUAACGACCCUCCACCGAUCAAGAAAGCGGUGGGUGUGAGUGUACACCCAUUAAGCGCCAUUUUAUAGGCAGCAACCUUAUACCCACCUUAUAGACCGACUUCGUGAAUGAGGUCUACUAAUGGUAAGACUAACAUUUUAAUUAUACAUAUAUAUAUAUNCAUAUAUAUUAAGCUUGUAAUCAUAUAGUAGUAUAGGGUUGAAUUUUAAACUUGUAAAAUUCUAGGGUUUGAAAUUUAAAUUGUCUAAAUUAAACUUUUAAUCACAAAACUUAAAUUUCAAAACUUGAGGACAAGUUUUAAACUUUUCAAAACAUAAGGGAUCAAAUAACAAAUAAUUUAAAUUAACCAUUUAAUCUCAUAAUUAUCCAUAUUUGAUUUAUUUAAAUGUUUCUUGCAAAACAAUUUACCAAUUUAAUUAACAUAUUCAAUUAAUAUCAUAUAAGGAAAUUAUUAUUCAACUAAUUGGUAAAUAUCUUUUGUUAGGUCAAGAAUAUACUCACAUAUAUGUUAAAAUUUGAAUUUUAUUGACCCAUAAAGGUUAAGGCAGGUUUCCUUAAGAAAAACAGCAAGAAAUCCCGAAACUAGCUCCUUCUGACGCUCGAACUCGCUGAGUACCAUAAUGGACUCGCCGAGUUGAGGCCUACUUGCCGAGACCACUAUGGAACUUGCCGGGUUCAUCAGGCAGAGGGACAAAAAUCGAAUUUGGCAAUCAACAAGCAAUCAAUUAAUGCAUCAAUUCAAUAGAAACCAAUCAAGGCUCUGAUACCACUGAUGGGUUUGAGCCAUAAGAGCAUUCCUAUGUUCACAUGCAAACCCUAAUGCUUGGAUCUAGGUUUCUCUAAUUGAACAUGCAAUGUAUCCAAGACUUAUAUUGAUAGAUCUAGUGUAAACAUUCAAAUCAUAACAUAUGAAAUCAGAUCUAAAGGAAUACCUUGAAUUGCUUGCUUGAAUCUUCUUGUCUUUGGAGCUUAGAGUCACAAUUGUCACUCCUCUAAUGGCUUACAAACACCAACUAGCAAGAGGAUGAUAAUAGAGAGAGAGGAGGGUGAGAAAAUCGGUUCUAGGGUUUAUUGGGAUGCAAGAGUGCCGAUUUCCUCCACCCUAAGGGUCUAUAUAUACUAUUGGCUACUAGGGUUACACGUUAAACCCUAAUUGAAUAACUUAGGCCCUAAGCAAUCCAAUAAUCUCUAUGGACUAGGCCUUGGACGAUUUCUAGGUUUCUCUAAACCCUAAAAUCGUCCACCCUCUUAUCCUUAGAGAUUCAUAGCCUAAAAUACAACUAUCACACAUUUGACAGUUUAUGCCCUUUUAUUCAAUUAACCUCUUUAAGUCACCAAAUUAAUUCCUAAUUAACUUAUGACUUAUAUUAAUCAAAUAACAAUAUUAUUAUUCCUUAUAUUAUUGUCAUAAUAUAUUAAUAAUAUUUUUUCUCUCAUAAUAAAUCAUCCUGUCAAGUUGCUAUGGUGAAGGCAAGCCAAAAGCACCAUGCUCAACCGGGUCAAAUACUUGCCAAAUAUAGUUACAGCCUUAGUCACUAUUCCAACAAAAACUUGGUCUGAUAAAGCCUUUGUCAAGAAGUUAUUGUAGUUUGCUAGAUAUUUCUUGCAUUUUGGAUGGAGCCAACCGAUAAGGAGAUUUCGCUACUGGUGUUGCUCCUGUAAUUAAGUCGAUUCGAAACUCAACUUGUCGAACGGGAGGUAUUCCAGGUAGAUCUUCAGGAAACACAUCAGGGAAAUCACAUAGUUGAGGUAUGUCCUUGAUUUCUUUUAUCUUUCUUCUCUUAUCUACAAUGUGGGCUAAGAAUGCGCUACAUUUCUAAUGUAGAUAUCUCUGGGUCUUUGAAUAAGAAAUGACUUUGAGGUUCUUCCCAGAUUUAUCACCAUAGAUAAUCAGGGCUUCGUCGUUUGGUAAGGGUAGUCGUAUGGCUUUCUCAUGACAUAAAAUUUCGGCGCGGUGUGAAGAUAACCAAUCCAUGCCAUUAUGACAUCAAAACUACCGAUAGGCAUUGACAUGAGGUUGACGUGAAAAAGGUACUUAAUAAGAGUUAACAGACAAUUUUCUAGGGUUUCAUAUGUUUUCUCAAAUUUUCCGUUAGAGAUUUCUACUUCGUAGAUUUCUUUUAAUUUUCUAGACUUAUGACUUAACAAUUUUCUAAAUGUCGGAGUUAUAAAACUUCGAUCUGCUCCAGAGUCGAAGAGUAUGCUAGCGUAUAAAUUAUCUAUGAGAAACGUACCAGAUACAACUGAAGGGUCCUGGAUAGCCUCUCCGCUUCUAAUCACAAAUGCCCUGCCACGUCCUAUGCCUCCUUGACUCCUUAACUUUGGACAUUCUUUCUUGAUAUGUCCAACUUCUCCACACUCAUAACACUUUCUUUCUUCGCCACGACCUGUUCUAGUAUUUGUUUGCUGAUUGACUGUUGCAAGUGUUGUGCUCCUGCAGUAACUAGCACUGUGCCCCUUCUUUUUGCAUUUCGUGCAAACAAAACAGUCACCUGGGUGAUGACGGUUCCAGUGGUUGCACCAUGCAGACUUUGGUUGAGUAGGUACUGCUAUUGUGGCUGCGUAGUUUGUUGUCACUUCUUAUCUUUUCUCAGAUGAUUGUUUGGGAUUCUUCUUAUUAAACUUGCACUUGUUUGUUCUAGCUUUGGGAGACUCGGCCUUUGAGACCACUUUUGUUCCUUGGAUAUUUGUGAGGGUUAGCUGAUGAGCUAUCCUCUUGGUGUUGUCAUAAGUCAUAGGCUUUGAUGCGAUCACCAUGCCUUUGAUUUGCGAUACUAAACCUCAUAUAUAUCGCUCAAUCUUCUUUAAUUCAGGAGUUACAAGUGUUGGACACAUUACUGCAAGGUCAUUGAACCUAGCAGUAUAAGCUUUUAUCUUUGAACCCUUCAUGGUUAGGGUCCACAAUACUUGUUCCAGCUUAUGUAUUUCCUCCCUAGGACAAUACUCCUCUACUAGCAUUAUUUUUAGCUCUUCCCAUUUCAUGGAAUUUGCGGUAUCAAUCCCCGUUGUAUUGACAUGGCUAUUCCACCAUGUAAGUGUUGCAUCAACAAAAGUACAUGCUGCAAAUUGUACUUCACAAUUGUCUGGACAAAAGCUUAUUUGAAAGACGGACGCUGUCUUUUCUAUCCACCUCGUCAAAUUAACUACCCCUUCAUUUCCAUGAAAGAUUUUUGGCCUACAAUUCAUAAAAUCUUUGUAGGUACAUGUUCUAGCGGUCCCUACAUGGCCUUCAUUUCUAACUCCAUCUCUUGUGACAUUAGAUAGAUUCAAACAAAUUCUUUGAGCUAUGAUUUCUUCCAGUUGCACUGUACUUAUUGAGGGGUUUAUUUCUGGUAGUGGUUAUGGUUGUUGUUGUGGUGCUGAUGGUCGGUUAUGGUUUAGCCGAUUACUCCUUCCAGGCAUUUUGUUUUAGUUCCUAUUAAAAAUAAUUAAAAAAAAACAUUUAUGAGUUUUGUUGAUCAUUUAAUACACGAGUACUAAAUACUCUAGUUAUUAUUCACAGCGUAAAACAUAAUAGACAACAUAAUGAUUACUAUAACAUAUGCUUCAUAUUAUUACCAGUGGUUACAUCAGUUUAUUUAGGCAUAUAGGAGAAAACAUUCUAUAAACAUUACAAAAUUUGCACGGUUUUCUACAUCCUUGCUAUAAACUUUUACUCUUCUUGCCUUAACUAGUCUGAUUUUCUGUAUUUACACAACCACUAGUUUUAGCUUAUCUAACAGAAACCCAAGUGAUGACCCAACUUCGGAAGAAUGUGGGGGAUGUGGUCGAAAUGAUUGACCAGUCUCAUACAUCUUAGCAGCUCUUUCUUCUGCUACCCACCUAUCGACGGUUUGGGCUAUCCGUGCAGGUUCAUCUUGAACUCUAUGACCUCUUGAAGAUGUCGUUUUCUGAUUCUUCUUAAUGUUUUUCCAUAUUGGUAUGGAUUUACGUGUUGUUCGUUUCAUCUUUGCUCCUCUUGGAACUGGACGAUAAAGAGUGUUUAGUGGUGGUAGAGAUGAUGCCACCGAUACUGUCUCCUCCAUUGGUUCACUUUCUUCUAUUGGUUCACUCUCUUCCCAUUCUUUGGAAGGUAAAGGUGCUCCAUCAUCAGAAGGUAAUGGAUGAAAGGUGGUUGGAUUUAUAGGGUAGUAAGGACCGCCUACCAUCCUGGGAAAUGAGACUUUCUCUUCUUCAUUCGUAUCCUCAAUGAUUAUCCAUUCUCGUGAAUGUGCCAUGUCGAAUUCCUAUACAUUUUGGAUCACCAAGAGUUUAGUCUAUCAAAUAUUUCUCCCAAAUUAAAUAGUUCAUAUGAUCUGAUCAUAAUAAAAUGUAGUUGCACGCCUACACCUAGUUAUGAUAGGAUCUAUGCACAUAUAAACUUUAGUUGGAAUAUUUAAUCUAAAUCCUUGAGAUCAAAAGCAUUCCGGGUAUUAAGGUGUAUUCUCAUUGUGGGUCUGAGUCUUUAUGUAUGACUCUAUAUUCUUAUUUACUGUAUUCACGCUUUUACGAUUGUUUGUUACUUCAGAUCUAUCUGAUAAGGCUCCGGCCAGUCAGGACUGUCGAAAGGGCAGGAUCAUUUUAGCAUAUAGCCGUUCUGAAAUCCAGCAACCCAAAUCGACAUGUCUAUCCAUGUCACCGCUCGCGUAAGUAGUCCUUCAGUAGUAUAAUUUAUAAUACUUUUUAUCGUAGGCUAAGAGAUAUAUCUAAACCUAAUAGAGUAAGCCCUAAACUAUAGACGUGCUUUCCUAAGAAAGUACUAGUUCACUAUAGUUAAUAGCUCUGAGACCAAUCUGUCACACGCCGGCCGUUGGCGAAAACACCGGGUAGUGUAACGUCCUUUUUUGUAUCACAGUUAUAUAACAUACAUUGAACAAUACCUAAAGAAAAUACAUACCUUUAUUCAUGAUUGAAAGUUACAUUAUUGUUUUUCCUAGUAUUUAUUACAUAAUAUCCGACUAUGACAUACUUCUUAAAGAAAGAUACUAGUAAAACUUCUCCUAUUCGAAUACAUACCCGCUUUUUAAGUUUAUACCUAAACAUUUCUUAAUCAUAAGGUAUAAGUAGGGGAAGACUUAUACUUAACAUUAAUACUUGUAUACAAAAAGGUAUAAUGUUUCUAAGAAUUUGCUACCAUGAGCCUGUAACCACUGCUAUGACAUAAUACCUCUGAUAGAACAAUACACUCAUGAUUUACCAUGAGAACAAAUACACUCAUGAUUUAACAUGAGAAACAACACCGUACGCUUCAUCGACGCCGGAACAAUAACAAAUAAAAGGAUAGUUCAUCACUUGUCUUUGGUUGACUGUAGCUAACAGUCACAAGUGGGGUGGUCAGCCCGUACACUAAUUAUACGCGACUUCCUCGCUCACACGGCAUUAACGGUUACAGUUCAGAGGAUUUCCGCUAAGAUCCCCAAUCUUAAUUGAUGAAUACAAUUACUCAUGUAGACUUUGACAGAUUCCUAUAGCGCUAACAACAAAGGCAUCUUCAUGUCUAAAACCUUAAGUUACUAUACUUUGCUUUUAAACAUUACUCCUAACUUCAUAAUAUUUAGGCAGUAUAACAGCUAUAUCUUGAAGUAAAAACCAGGUUUUAUCUUGACCUAAAACCAAUAAUAACAACAUAUAACGUUUCUAGUUUUAUCUUGACAUAAAAAUAACAAUAACAACAUAUCCAGUUUUAUCUUGAGAUAAAACUAAUAAUAACAACAUAUAACAUAUGUACUUUUAUCUUGACAUAAAACUCUUAAUUGCAACAUACUAUAUAACUUAACAUAUAAAACUUCCGAAUAUAACUUCGGAACUAUAUCACACACAAAAUAUAUAUAUAGAAUCCUAAGUAUAACUCAAGAUCUACAUUAAUAUAUUACUAUAACAAUAACAUGUUAACAACGUUACGAUAAUUGUAUAUUUUCAGAUACGAAAUAACUAUAUCCCGUUUAUUAUAACUAUCUAUGUUGAUACUAAUAUACUAUCAUAUAGACAUAAUAAUAACAUAUAUACAAUGACUAGCAUGCAUUUUCCCUCGAAAUAUUAGAAAGUGGGGCCAUGAAACUCACCUUAGUAACGUGAUUUUAUGUAAUCUAAGCAGAAACGGUCAACGUACGAGGUCGUCGGGGCUCGCGAUGCAAGAGGGCUUCAGCAAAUGAGAGAGGAGAAAGGAGAUCAGGUGUAAGAAUGGUUGGGGUUGAUCUUGCUAUUUAUUGUAAGAUUUUAUGACACUCACGCCGUGAGUCUGCAUGAUUCACUCCGUAGACUUGCCAUUUACGUCCCUAGCUUCGGAAGGUGGCCAUGACUCCUCACGUCAUGAGUGUCAUAAAGCUCACAUCGUGAAUUUUGGAUCCUAUCCUCUCGCAGCUUCUAGAUUCUGAAUUAUGACAUAAUGACUCCUCACGUCGUGAGUGUCAUAAAACUCACGUCGUGAAUUUUGGAUCCUAUCCUCUCAGGGUUUUUAAAAACUAAAUCUUCGGAAGGCCAUAACUUUUGCAUAUGAACUCCGUUUUUUACGUUCUUUAUAUGCACGCGUAGGUAUUUAUGAGUACUACAACUAUAUUUUAGAGUUAAAUAGCUAAUUCUAAGUCUAUUUUAAAUUUCUCUUUAUAUAGAGAUUUAUAGUGUUCGGUUAUCAUAACUUCUUCAUGCGAAGUCAGAUUUAGAUGUUCUCUAUAUUUUUGGAAUCGUAUGGACGUAUACUUUGAGUUGUAUCAUAAAGAAAGUUCAUAUUUGUAUUAGAAUUUAUCAUGAACUACAUAACAUUCUUACCACCUUACUAGGUUAACAUAAUCACAUUACAUGAUUGGCAUAAUCACAUGUGAUUGUCUAUUGACCUAUUUUGACUAGUGUUACAAUAGUAAUCUUUGCAUGUUUAAUUAUGGUAAUUCAUGCACUUCCUAAAACCUAGUCUUCUCCCCUCUUUAUCUUCAAGCAUUUGGCCUCAAAAAUUUGUAACCUAAUCUUAAAAUCAUCGACAAUCCUCAAUCCUCAUCGUCUCCAGCCCUAUUUGAUGAAUACUCCUCUUCUCCUUCAUUGAUUCUCGCUUUGUUCAAGAAUCCGCGACUCUUUAUCAACAAAUAUUGUGUACAUUUUUUUAUCAGGAAGAGAUAAUAAAAUGUAUCGGAACUGAAUGCCACACAGAUCAUGAUACAAGAUCUGCACACCGUUCAUCUAAUGAUUCGAUCAACCGAUUGCCUUCAUAGCCAACUAGUAUCAUCCUCCUGGAUUCAAAUUUUGAACAAAUCUAAAAACCCUAACGUAGGUCACGUUGCCUCCAUGAUUUGAUGUGAUCCUUUAUCAGUCUUAUUCUUCAGUAAGUAUCGACUAUUUCAAAGAAAUUAAAAUUCUCAUGGCUACAAGCUUCAACCAAAUAUCAUCGUUUUACCAUUCAAUGGUCUUUGGUCCAAAAUCGUAGCACCAAGUAAAUAUUUUGAAAAGAACAACUUAAUUUUUUUAAUUUUUGUUGUUAUUUGCAUUUGAAAUGAAGUAUGAUGAUCAUUUAUUCUUGAUGUUUUUAGUUUCAUUCUGUGAAUUAUUGAUGUACAUCUUUGAUGAACAGGGUUGUUGUGUAGUGCUUCCAGAAUAUCAUCUAGAUAAGCUUAUAUUUGAAAUCCAUGGAGCAAGUCCCUCCAGAUCAAAACUUUUGUGAUAUUUUGAUGGAAAACAACAUGGGAAUGUUCUUUCCAAACUUCUAAAUUGACGUCUGAUGUUAUCCUCAAUCUGGUACAACUUUUGAAUUAAGAAUUUGAUGCAAAUUUGUGAUUGAAUUAUUUUAUUUGGAUAUUUUUUUACAGUUUUUAUUCUCUGAGAAACCGAACACAGGAGGUAUACCCUCCUGUGUGACUCAUUUACUUUGCAAACUUUAUUAAUUAAAAUGAACCCUCAUCUAUGAAAUUUUAAUCAAAUUGCUUUUUGAUUUUGCUUUCGAAACACAAUCAUCAGUUUUUUAACCAACAAAUAAGUAUAUAUGUUGACCGUUUUAUGUAUCCUGCUAUUUCAAUUUCAUAGUUUUUUUUUCUAUUUAGAUUGUUAGUUUUUUUAAUGCAUCUUAAUGUCAAUCAUCCUGCUAUAUUGGAAUUUCAAAUACUGAUUUUUUCCGAAUAGAAUCUUGAAUUCCUUAUCACCUUAAGCUGUGAAUUACCGUAACCAAUUCUAUCAGAAUAAAAUUGGUUUCUAUUCUUGUUAUUGGUCUUGAUUCUUAUAGAAUGACAUCAUAAAUAAUGAAACAUUACAUUCUUUCAAAAUAAUAUAGAUCGCAAGUUACAGAUGAUUGUUAACGUUAGUUUGUACAAAUUAUAGUUAUAUUCUAUUUGAAUGUAUAUCACAUUCUGUAACAUCCGGAUUUCCAGGUAUUAUAUUUUAUCAUUUAUUUUUGGAGUUAAGAGAGGGACUCGACGAGUUGACGCCUGGACUCGUGGAGUAGGAUCGUGUAUUGUUGAAUGAUAAAUGAGGGGACUCGACGAGUCGGUAAGGGUGGACUCGACGAGUUUGUGCUGACGACUGAAACCUUAAAUCCCUGUGCAUGUGCCCUAUUUAAAGAACCUUAUAGACCUCUUGUGCAGCUACCUGUCCAGAGAGAGUGCCCCUUGAGAGCUUGAGCGAGUUGAGACAGAGAUAAGGCUAUAUUGAUCAAUUUUGGUGUGAGUUAGCAAAGGAGAAGUUGUUUCCAGCAAGAGGAGGUCAAAGGAGCUGUGGAUCCAAGGUUUUUAAGUUCAGAUCUACACUUUUGAGGUAUCAAAUCGAACUUCCUUUCUAGUUUGUGUUAAGAUCCAUGAUCCAGGGUUUUCUAUAGCCUUAUUAGAGUUUGAUAAGUGGAGUUUAUGGUCCUUUGCUAUGUUAGAGCUCAUAUCUGGACCCAUAGAGGUCCAAGGAGCCUUCCCCAUUUUGCUUUAUGUUGGUUUAUGGAGGAAAAGAGACUAGGUUGCCAUGUUAGAAGGAAUUUCACCAAAAUAAGACUUGGGUGCAAUGCAUGUGUAGCAAGAUUCGACCUUUACAUGGUUAUUGGUUAUGGGGAAGUCAGAUCUAUAGAUUAGGGAAGCAUAUCUGACCUCAGAAGGUCAGAUGGGUAUUGUCAUGGGAGCAACUCGCCGAGUUCAUGAGUGGACUCGACGAGUCGAGUCGGGGUUGCCCCGCGAUUUGUUAUUGAGUAACUCGGUGAGUGGAGAGUGGACUCGUUGUGCCAAGUGAGGAUUAGAAGGAUUCAAAGCACUAGUGUGGACUCAUCGAGGUUCCUGAGUGCAAUCGACGAGUCUGGUCCAAGUUUGACCGUUGACUUCGUUGACUUUUAGGGUUUAGUCAAUGUUUGGACUUAUGAGCAAUUAGAGGCGUAGAAUGGCCUCUUACCCUUCUUAGAGAACAUAUAGUGAGGAGUUAGCCUAGCCUUUAGAAGUUAUAUUAAUUAGAGUAAUUAUUAUGUGAUUAGGCGGAGGCUAGUGCAGAAUUUCAGAGUUCGAGGUUUACCGAGUUAUCCGGGGUGAGUCUUCUCACUAUGCUUUACCUUGAGUGGUAAUUAGAGUUAUGUGAUAGAGUAUCUUGUAUGAUAUUUAUGUGAUGUGUUGCACAACAUUAUUUCUAUGUGAUUUAUGUUGUGUGAAUGUCAUAGUUCAUAGAGUUAGGACAAGAGGGUCCAUAGAGUUAGAUCCAGAGGGCUCAUAGAGUUAUAGCCUCGAGUGGCUAUUAUGUGUUAAAUGUGGUAUUUUGGGGAACUCACUAAUCAUUUAUGCUUACAGUGUUUUGUGUUAUGUGUUUCAGGUACCAGUGAGGAUCGCGGGAAGGCGCCGGUAUGAUCAGUACACACUAUUGGAGUUUUUAUACAUUCUGAUCUUGGGAUGUGUUUUUAUGGAUUUGAUAUGUGAUACAAUGAGAUAUGAGAAUGUUUAUGAAUUAAAAUUAUAAAUUUUAAAAGUGAAAAAUUGUUUUGAAAUUUACGUUGUUACAAGUUGGUAUCAGAGCCUUGGUUUAAGGGAUUCGGAUGCACCUUCGAGCACAUUUGAACUCAAACUGAAGAUUUGAGGAAUUUCUCGAAGUAAAACAAAAAUUUUCUAAAAGAGUAAAAAGGUUUUGAAAAGAGCAGAGCAGAGCAGUGUGUACGAUCAGCCUGUGCCCGAAUGGUGAUUUCCCAAAAUACCCUUAUAUUAUGUGUUAUGAGAUAGGAGAUCAUAUGUUAUGCAUGCUAGAGUAGGCUAGGUAUUCUUAUUAGGACUAGAGUGGCCUGAUUUUUGAUGCCUUAGAUUAGGGGUUUUGCUCCUAGGAGAUGCUUGAGAGUGAGUAGAUAGCAGCGAGAAGCUUAUGAGAGAUCUGGUAGAGAGUAGACUAUGCAUAGUGAGAGUAAUGUACUUGGGAUUUGGGAUCCUAGGAGGGGGAUUUUGGGUUAAUAUUGAUGCAGUGUGGACGGUAGUAUUGGGCCCAUGCUACUGAAGACACCGGAUCAGCAUGUAGUCCAAGUAAGAAUCCUUAGGGUACUAGAGAUCAAGUAGGGUUGAGUUAUCGAGUGCGAGUAUGCUCGUGAGAAUCUCUUAUAUUUUUAUGUUGUAUUUUAGAGACAUCAUGGUUGGGACACACCACAGACUAGAGAUCAGUGGGGUGAGUGAUGAGGAGCUCCGCCAGAUGAUCCAUGAGGAGGUCACUAUGGCUAUCUGUGUAGAGAUUCCGGAGAUGUUCGGGUCUAUUAAGACCACGUUGAUUGAGACUUUCGAUGAGAGAUACGUAGCGGUUACUGAGGUUGCAGCCGCUGCAGCUACCCCAGCUGUUGCUGCUGCCAUACCUCAGGGUGGUGAUUCGUUGCUGUUCCGGGAGUUCAACAACACGAAGCCACCAGAGUUUGAUGGGACAUAGGAUCCAAUUGCUAAGAUGUGAUGGGUUUCCGAUAUUGAAGGAUGCUUCUAUACGGGUUCAUGUACAGAGCAUUUGAGGGUUUGGUUCGUGCUGAACCAGCUUCGCUUGCGAGCGACGGACUGGUGGAUGUUUGUGUUGGCGCACUUUUCGUCUGCUGAGCUUGCUGCGGUGACCUGGGAGAGGUUCACUGCUAUGUUUCAUGAUGAGUAUGUUCCCUGGAGAAGGAACGUUUAGCCCAGGAGUUUCUAACCCUCAGGCAGGGUACUGAGUCUAUUACGGUGAUCGCCAGGAUGUUCCAUGAGAGGGCGAUGUUCUGCCCUGAGCACGUGUCUACCGAGCAAGCACGUAUGAGUCGGUACUUGUGUAUUUUGAGGAGAUACAUAUGAGACUUCGUGGAGAACUUGUCAUACUAGAAAUUUUCCGAGCUCCAGGAAAAUGCUUGGAAGAGGGAGAUAGAGCUGGAGACUCAGAACAGGGAGGAGGCGGAGUCUCAGGGGAGAGAUUAGCGACCGGCCCAGUCCCAGCCGGCAGCCAAGCGGGCCAAGCCCGCCGAUUCGAGAUCAGGGAACCAGAAGGGCUGUACUUGUGUCAAGUGCGGCAAGGGUCAUGAGGGAGUGUGUAGAGUAGGGUCUUGCUACAAGUGUGUCAAAGAGGGGCAUAUGGCCAAGGAUUGCCCCAAGGGAUUUGCAUUUUGUUUUCACUACAACCAAACCGGACACCGGAAGGCCAAGUGUCCGCAAUUGUGGGGAUCAGCACAGGGAGCAUCACAGGGAUUUACCCCUGCUGGCAUUCAAGCUACCGAGAGUCAUCCAGUGAAGGUUAAGGCACUGAAGGCACGAGGGAUAGCCUUCCAGUUGACCGUGAAGGAGGUCCGCACAGCGCCCGAUGUUGUGGCUGGUAUGUAUUCUUUCAUGUAUUUACUAUGAUGUUUGAGAUUUUGUGUUUAUAUUAUGGUAUGUGUAUGUACUUUCCUUGUGUGUUUUGUGCCUGUCUUGGUGUUAUUUGACUCGGGUGCGAGCCAAUCUUUUGUGUCAUUAGCCUUUAGUCAACACAUCAGUAUUCGUCGAGAGUCGUUGAGUCGACCACUGCGAGUUUCCAUAGCUGAUGAUCGCGUGGUGUAUGCCACCAAUGUGAUUCGGGGAUUUGUACUUGAGAUCUUCGGAGUGGAGUUUCUGAUUGAUUUGGUUCCGAUUGCGAUUGGGGAUGUCUGUGUCAUCGUAGGCAUGGACUGGUUGAGCAGAUUUUGUGAUUUCCCUAAAAUCACGGCCAGAAAAGACCAAUUUGUUUAUGCUUUGUUUGAAAAUCAGAGUAACAUUUUAAAUAAAAGUGUUACGAAAUUUGUCCUAAAAAGAAUAUGAUAAAGAUUUAUCAAAAGCAUUUCCAAAGAAAGGCAUUUCAUUAAAAGACUUGGGAUGUAAUGUUCGAUACAUAUCAAGAGCACAAACAGUACAAUAUAAUCCUUACUACAUUAUUUCAUAUCUACAGGCCUAUAUCCGUAAUCCCUCAUCCAAAAAAUCACAUCUAUGCUCGAGCACCACUACCUAUAAUACAUGAAACUGAGUAGGAUAGGCUUGUGAGCCUGGUGAGCACAUAGUGUUUUCAACCCACAAUAAAUAAGUUUAUUAAUUUCAUCAAUCAACAAUAACCGGCUUACCAGUUCCUAUUAUCCUCACUUUACGUCCCUAAACACCUAUCAUAAGGGACCUAGCCUAAGGAUCAUCAUCGGGAUGGACACUACUGCUAAGGGGGUUCCUCAGCAAUCAAUGUCCUAAAGGCAACCAUGAGGGGGAUGGAGUACACCAGUGAAAAAAUCGUUCACAAACACCUACAGGGUGCGAGCCUGUUAGAGUUCCACUGGACUGUCUAGAAGAGUUCGUGGUGGUCAUCCAUACUCCGCUAGAUGACAGAAUCAACAACAACAACAUCGAGGCCUCCCAUCAUUUUAUCACACAUCGUAUAAUACAUCUACCCAUGUUUUUCCCCAACAUUUUUGAAGAUAUAAAAUACAUAUAUAGAUUAACUCAUAUAAAACUUGUAUAAAAGUGUUCAUCCAACAUAGAUAGCAAGUAUACAGAUAAUAUGCACACAUAGCACGUAGUUUAUAGAAAAUACUUCAUAUCUAUGUGUAACAUGAAAGGGACCAUGCACUCACCUGAGAAGGUGGUGACUCGGCACUUGGACAACACUUCGUUUCUCUUAACACAAUUUUCCUUCGGCAAAACCUAGUAUCAUUACCACUAGGGUUUAGUCUAAUAUUCACCGAGACUAAUUAAUAGUCUAGUUAUUAUUAAUAUUAUAUAAGUGUUAAACAAUACUUGUAAAACCCAUAAUAAUAGCCCAAGUACUUAUUAUAAGGUCCUAAUAAAAUUAUUAUAUUAAAACAUAAGCUAUACUAAAGAUAGGUUAGGCGUAGCUCACUUACAGCUGGUUUUUCUCAAAACCGGGCUUCGCUGGGGCAGCAUUUCCGAGCCGAAAGGCUCUUCUUCUUGGGGCCAUCGGGCACUCCAGGGCUUCCGCCUCGUGCUAGGGGGUUCCCUAGGCUUUUCGGGGGGUUUCAGGGCUUACCGAGAGAGUAUAGAGAGAGGAAUGAAGGGUUAAGGUGUGAGGAAUAAAGGUGAGGGGCAUCUCUAUUUAUAGGAGAAUAAAGAGGCUCCCACGUCAUGGCCAUUUGAUGCCCACGUCGUAGCCAGCUGGGUACAACCAGGCACAGCCUGGUGCUGACACAUGGCAUCGCACACAGGGUGGAAAUCAGCCGAUUUUCAAAAAUUCAUAACUUUCACAUACAAACUCCAUUUUUGACGUUCUUUGUAUCCACACGUAGGUACAAACAAGAUCUACAACUUUCAUUUAGGGUCCAUCGGCUAAUUCUUGACCGGUCUUAAAUUUAACAGUAGGCGGAGAUUAAACUACUAAAUGACCAUGAAGAAUUCGUAACUCCUUCAUACGGAGUCCGUUUUCGUCUGUCUUUUUACCAUUGAGUUGCUACUAAUGAGAUCUUCAACUCUUAUUUAGGUCGGGUAAGCCAAAAACCACUUAAACUAAAAUUCGAGUUUCAGGCUGUACACUCCUAAGCCGAAACUUUGAAAAAUCCUAAGUUCAUCAUACGAAGUCAGAUUUUCUCGGUUUAACAUACUCUACGACUUUGGUUUAGAUUACUAGGGCUAAAAAGUAUUCUAUCAUAAAUUCACUUUUUACGCUUCCCGGUGUCGUGCCAGUUCCGUCGCGAAAAUUCGACGGGUCAUAACUUCUUCGUUAUAAAUCAGAUUUCGGCAUUCUUUAUAUCCUUGGAAUCCUUGUUUCGACCACUACAGCAUUAUGUAAAAAUAUAGGACUUGUAUCUCACUUUAAUUUUGACACUUAUUUUUAUUCUUUAUUAAUUAUAUCUUUAUAAUUAAGUAAUAAGCACACAAAUACACAUAAUUCACAAAGAAUUCAAAUAUUUCAUUUUUAUUACAUCAAAAAGAGUUACAAUAGUUGACCUAGACUAUUACAUCGCCCAAAAAUGCUUAGCCCUAAAACCUGGGCGUUACGAUUCUCUCCCCCAUAGGAUGAUUCCGUCCCGGAAUCAUGCAUCAGCAAAUAGAUGUGGAUAGCGACUCAUCAUGUAACUCUCUGUUUCCCAAGUGAGAUUCAGCUCAUUUGAAUGUUUCCAUCGGACUAGCUCUAAGUCGACCAUCUUUCGUCCUAACUUCUUAGUCUUACGGUCAAUAAUUGCAUCGGGCUCUUCGACUAGCCUCUUAUUCUCAUCCAUUCUUAACCUCAAUAUUGGAAUUAUGUCGGGAACUUCUCCUAUGAAUUUCCUCAACUAACACACAUGAAAUGUGUUGUGAAUACCAUCGAGUUCUUCGAGUAAUUCCAGCUUGUAAGCUUGGUUCCCAAUCUUCUGAAGAACUUUAAAUGGUCCAAUAAACCUUGGACUCAGCUUUCCUCGUUUCCUGAAUCGUAUAAGUCCCUUCCAUAGUGAGACUUUAAGCAAAAACGAAUCCCCAACUUCGAAGGUCGUCGGUCGUCUUUUCUUGUCAGCAUAGCUCUUCUGACGAUCCUGAGCUGCUAACAUUCUCUCCCUAAUCACCUUUAACUUUUCAGUAGUCUCAUGGACUAUCUCGGGGCCCAUAAACUUCUUUUCUAUAGCUUCAAGUCAACAAGAAGACGUACGACACUUCUGUCCAUACAACGCUUGAUAGGAUGCCAUCUUGAUGCUCGAGUGGGAACUAUUGUUGUAGAAAAAUUCUACCAGAGGUAAGUGCUCAUCCUAGCUCCCCUGGAAAUCGAGUAUGUGCUCUCAGCAUAUCUUCUAGUGUCUGAAUCGUUCUUUCACUCUGACCAUCAGUCUGCAGAUGGUAAGCCAUACUCAAACACAACUUCGUACCUUACUCCUCCUAUAGACUUCUCCAGAACCUUGACGUGAAAUGACUAUCACGAUCUGACACAACUGUUAGAGGAACACUGUGAAGUCUUGCAAUUUCCUUCAUGUACGCAUUUGUGAGCUUAUCCAUAGACCACUUCUCGUUGACUGCUAUGAAGUGUGCACUCUUGGUGAAAAGAUCCACGACUACCAAAUCAUGUCGUGACCGUUCUUUGUCCUGGGCAGUUUAGUCACUAAAUCGAUGGUGAUGUCUUCGCGUUUACCUAUGGGUAUAGACAAAGGUUCCAAACUCCCAUAUGGUUUCUGAUGGUGUGCCUUAACUCUUGCACAAGUCACGCACUGGGCCACAUACUUCGCAACAUCGAGUUUCAUCGUAGGCCACCAGUAGUAGGGUUUUAGGUCGCUAUACAUUUUAGAGUUAUCGGGAUGAAUCGAGUACAUGGUCUUGUGUGCUUCUUCCACCAGAGGAUCUCUUAUUCCGCCCAUCUUUGGCACCCGAAUCCGAUCUUGGAAUACCUUCAGUCCUUGACGGUUUGUACCUAACACUAACGGUUUGCCCAAACGUUCUUCCUUUCAGUCAUUCUUCUCUAAAGCUUCUUCUUGAGCUUUCCUAAUACUUUCCACAAAUGUCAAGACAACUUCUAUCCUCAACGCUCUUGGCCUUUUUCUUUCAAGAUUGACUUUCCGGCUGAGAGCAUCAGCAACAACAUUUUCUUUACCCAGGUGGUAAAUUAUCUCAUAGUCGUAGUCCUUGAGUAUUUCUAGCCAGCGUCGUUGCCUCAUGUUUAACUCCUUCUGAUUAAAGAGAUACUGGAGACUCUUAUGAUCAGUGAACAACUUGCACUUCGUGCCGUAGAAGUAAUGCCUCCGUAUCUUUAGAGAAAAUACUACCGUCGCCAACUCCAACUCGUGAGUGGGGUAGUUCUUUUCGUGCUCUUUCAAUUUUUGAGAUGCGUAUGCUAUCACCUUUUCUCUUUGGGUUACAACACAACCCAACCCGACUCUAGAUGCGUCAUUAUAGACCGCGAAGUCUUCAACUCCAUCGGGUAGAGAAAGAAUCAGUGCUUCAGAUAACUUCUUCUUUAACUUCUCGAAUGCUUCUUCAUGUUUCUCACUCCACGUAUAAUUAGCUUCUUUUGGGGUCAAAGCAGUUAAUGGAGCAGCUAUCGAUGAAAAGCCUAGGAUAAAUCGUUGGUAAUAUCUGGCUAAUCCCAGAAAGCUUCGAAUCUCUGUGGGACUUUUUGGUCGUUCCCACUUCAUUACUGCUUCGAUCUUUGCUGGGUCAACCAUUAUACUUUCUUGGUUAACCACAUGACCCAAGAACUGGACUUCUCGUAUCCAAAAAUCGCAUUUGGAGAACGUAGCGUAAAGUUUCUCCUGCUUCAGUACUUCUAAGACUUCUCGCAAGUGUCUGCCAUGCUCCUCCUGACUUCUUGAGUAAAUCAGGAUGUCUUCAUUGAAUACUAUGAUGGAUUUAUCAAGGAAUGGUUUACAAACCCUGUUCAUUAAAUCCAUGAAUGAUGCAGGAUCAUUGGUUAGUCCAAAUGACAUAACCAAGAACUCGUAGUGUCCAUAUCUAGUUCUGAAUGCAUUCUUCUCACUAUCCUGCUCUCUCACCUUCAGCUGACGAUAUCCUGACCUAAGAUCAAUCUUUGAAAAGUAACUCGGACCUUGUAGCUGAUCGAAUAGGUCAUCAAUCCUUGGCAAUAGAUACUUGUUCUUCACCGUUUCCUUGUUCAGCUCUCGAUAGUCUAUACACAUCCUCAUGCUUCUGUUUUUCUUUUUCACGAAUAACACCGGAGCUCCCCAGGGUGAUGAACUAUGUCGAAUGAAACUGUUGUCCAACAGCUCUUGAAGUUGCGUCAUAAGCUUCUUCAUCUCUGUCGGUGCUAAUCGGUAUGGUGCUUUCGCUAUUGGUGUCGUCCCUGGUAACAAGUCUAUUCGGAACUCUACUUGUCUAUCAGGUGGUAAUCCGGGAAGAUCUUUGGGAAAAAUAUCUGAAAAAUCACACACUACUGAUAUAUUCUGCACCUCCUUCUUUUCCUUCUGAGCAUCGAUUACGAAUGCCAAGUAUGAUGCACAUCCCUUGGACAAACAUUUUCUGGCUUUCAUCAGGGAGAUGAUUCCAGAAUUUACUCGGCCUUUGUCCCCGUGCACCAUAAAUGACUCUUUUUUGGGUGGGUUUACCCUUACUAUCUUCUUUCGGAAUUGAAUCUUACCAUCGUUGGCGCUAAGCCAAUCCAUACCCAAAACGAUGUCGAAACCAUUUAAAUCUAUGGGUAAUAGCUCCUCGUGGAAUUCGUUUCCGUUUAGGUCGAUGACAAUGUUCCUAAUACGAUCACUAACAGGUACAAAUUUGCCACUAGAAACUUCUACAAUAAGGGCAUUAUCAAGUUUUUCUAUAGGCAAUGCUAAUUUCCCACCAAAUUUAUGUGACACAAAGGAGUAGUUGGCUCCGGAAUCAAAUAGUAUAUUUGCAGGCAAACCAUUUAGAAGAAAGGUACCUGAAGCGACGUCUGCUACCUCCUUCGCAGCCUUAAGCGUCAUCUGGAAGGCUCUUGCCUUCGUCUUCGGUGGAAUGUUGGGUCUUUCUGCUUCCUUCUUCUUCGGGCAGUCCCUCGAAAUGUGCCCAUCCUCGUUGCACUCAUAACAGACCUUCUUAGUGAAUGUGCAUUCGUUGGCAUAGUGCCCAGGCUUUCCACAUUUGAAACAAGUGACUCCUCCAUCACAUUUCCCUUGGUGCUUCUUCUUGCAUUUUUCGCACCAUAUUGCUUCGGCUCCUCCUCCUCUCGAGCCAGACUUCGAGAAUUUACUCUUCUUACUGGACCUCAAGGAUCCGUCAAAUUUGCUUUUCUCUCCUACCACCACUCUCUCCAGGCCAUUCUCUCAUAUAUGGGUCUCCACAUUCUUAGCAGCCUAGAUGGUGGCUUUCAGAGUGGUAGUUUGCUUGACCAUUGGACCAAAUUCCGCUGGUAAUCCAAGGGAAAAUUUCUUAACCUUGAAAGUGAUGGGUUUUAGCCAUAUGAACAUUCCUAUGUGCACAUGCAACCCUAAUGCUUGGAUCUAGGUUUCUCUAAUUGAACAUGCAUUGAACACAAGACUUCUAAUGGCUAAUAUACAAUAACAAUAAUAUGAAAUCAGAGAUUAGAAGUUUACCUUCAAUCACUUUCUUGAUCUUGUUGUCCUUGAGGCUUGAGAGUCACAAUUGUCACUCCUCUAAUGGCUUACAAACACCAAUUAGCAAGGAGAAUGAUUUAAGAGAGAGGAGGGAAGAGAAAUUCGGCCAGGGUUUCUUCUCUAAGCACAAGUCCCGAAAUCUCUUAGCCCUUCGGGUCUAUUUAUACUUGUAAGGCUCCUAAGGUUUCACCCUUAAACCCUAAUUGGACAACUUAAGCCCUAAACAAUCCAAAUCCCUUCCAUGAUAAGCCUUGGACGAUUUUAUGGCUACCCUUAGACCUAGAAAUUGUCCAUCCCUUAUCCAUAAAGGAUAUAUAGCCCAAAGUGCAACUAUCAAACAAUUGACAGUUUGUGCCCCUUUAUUUAAUUAAUCUCUUUAAGUCACCAAAUUAAUACCUAAUUAAUUUAUGACUUAUAUUAAUCAAAUAAUAAUAUAAUUCCUUAUAUUAUUCUUAUAAUAUAUUAAUAAUAUUCCUUCUCUCAUUAUAAAUCAUCCUGUCAAGUUGCUAUGGUGAAGGCAACCCAAAAGGACCAUGCACAACCGGGUCAAAUACUUGCCUAAUAUAGUUGCAGCCUUAGACACUAUUCCAACAGUCUCCCACUUGGAUAAGUCUAGUAACUAUAUGCACAAGUACAAUUCGGUUUGCAAUCGUAGCUCUCAAAGACGCUGUCAACUCUGAUCUAAUCAAUCUUGUCCUUUAGAUAAGGGAACGUACAGUCCUCUGUUAGAUAUCAUGCUGACAAUCCUAUGGAAUGGUUAGUCAAGCAUUUAGGUUUCUCGAUCUCUGAUUUAUUUGACAUAGAACUUAAUCGAACACAUCAAUUCAGUUCUGACCGGGCCCGGCACAUAAGUCAAAUCAAAUCAUCGAGCGGCCGAGAUAUCGCUUUUACCUUCUUAGAUAAAAGUUACAGAUAAACUUCGACUUAUAUGCAUUUACUUAUUCAUUAACCAACUAUACACAACAAUGCGUUUUAUAACACCGAGUUACUGAUGCGUUUUCGCAUUAUCAAUGUACAAUCAAUUAACAAAUAACAAACCAUAUAUCUUGGUUUUAAGACUAUAUGAUAUUAUCGUCUUGCGAUCACCCUUUUUAUCACAUUCCAUAAGGUGAUUCCAGCAAGCGCGGGUUUGUUCCAAUGCUCAAAACUAGUUCAUAAGCACUCAUGAACGUUGCAGCAACCCUUUGCUAUGUCUAAUACCAUUUAGACAAUCUACACACCAAUUCAUGACAAUCUUCAUUCAUAUCUACUUCCAACAUAUGAACGAUUGUGGACAAUUUGAACAAUUCGAUUAUUCCUAAUAAACUCAAUUAUUCUGGAAGUCAAAACAUGCAAAGUGAAACAAUAGUUAAACAAUUAACAUAAGAUAGUAACAUUACUCAUAAAUAAAACUCUUUUAUUUAAUCAUCAAAUGUUAAUUACAUUUAUCUAUUACACGUUUCUAAUACUAUCUAAUCUAUGCUAAUAUCAUCCUUCAGCCCAAUACUCCUAGCAUGCUGCAAGUGCUUAACCCUACUCAGUCCCUUCGUAAGCGGAUCUGCUGGGUUAUCUUCUGAUGAUAUCCUCUUCACUACGAGUUGUCCUUCUUCUACACGAUGUCUAAUAAAGUGAUAUUUUCUGUCGAUAUGUCGAGAUCUACCAUGAUCCCUCGGUUCCUUGGUCAAGGCAACCGCUCCUUCAUUAUCACAGAAAAUCUCCAUGGGCUCCUUUAUGGCGGGUACAACUCCAAGAUCACUGAUGAAGUUCUUUAACCAUAUUGCCUCCUUCGAUUCUUUGCUCGCUGCAAUGUACUCUAAUUCGCACGUCGAAUAAGCUAUAGUUUCCUACUUGGAACUUUUCCAAGUUACUGCUCCUCCAUUCAGGGUAAAGACCCAGCCCGACUGCGAACGGUAGUUGUCCCUGUCGGUCUGAAAGCUGGCGUCACUAUACCCUCGCACCUUCAAGUCAUCACUCCCUCCGAGGACUAAGAACCAUUCCUUCGUCCUCCGAAGGUACUUAAGGAUAUUCUUCACCGCAAUCCAAUGGGCUCUGCCAGGGUUCCCUUGAUAUCUGCUAACCAUGCUCAAAGCAAAGGCUACAUCAGGGCGAGUACAAGUCAUAGCGUACAUGAUUGAGCCAACUGCGGAAGCGUAUGGUACUCGGCUCAUUUCUGCUAUUUCAGCUUCGGUACUCGGACUUUGAGUCUUACUCAACUUGGCAUUACUUUGUAUUGGUAAUUCUCCCUUCUUCGAGUUUUCCAUACUAAAACGUUUUAGUACCUUAUCUAAGUAAGUGUUCUGACUAAGUCCUAUUAGUCUCUUACUUCUUUCUCUCACUAUCCUUAUUCCCAAAAUAUAGGAAGCCUCUCCGAGGUCCUUCAUAGCGAAGCACUUCCCGAGCCAGGACUUAACCUCCUGCAGAGUCGGGAUGUCGUUUCCUAUGAGUAAUAUGUCAUCGACAUAUAGAACGAGGAAGCUUACUAUACUCCCACUGGCUUUGACAUAUACACAAGAUUCAUCUUCGCUUCGUACAAAUCCAAACUCUUUGACUUUCUCAUCGAAGCAAAGAUUCCAUCUGCGAGACGCUUGCUUAAGUCCAUAAAUGGACUUCUCAAGCUUACACACUCUAUUCGGAUGCUUCGGAUCCACAAACCCCUCUGGCUGAGCCAUGUAAACAUCCUCAGCCAACUUUCCGUUAAGGAAAGCGGUCUUGACAUCCAUUUGCCAAAUCUCAUAAUCAUGAAAUGCGGCAAUUGCUAGCAUCACUCUAAUAGAUUUUAUCUUCGCAACUGGUGAGAAGGUCUCAUCAUAGUCAACUCCGGGAGUUUGAGUAAAGCCCUUCGCAACCAAUCGCGCUUUAUAUGUGUGUACGUUUCCAUCCACGUCGGUCUUCUUCUUGAAGAUCCAUUUGCACCCAACGGUCUUACGUCCGGGCACAUUAUCAACCAAAUUCCAAACUUGGUUAUCAUACAUGGAUUGGAUCUCGCUAUCCAUUGCCUCUUUCCAUUUUGCAGACUCCGGGCCUGCCAUGGCUUCCUUAUAGCUAUUAGGUUCAUCUAGAUUUAUUAGUGUACCAUCACCAAUAUGCGUGUCCCCUUCGGUAGUAAUAUAAAAACCAUAAAACUAGGGUUGAACUCUAACUUUUUCGGAAUGUCUGAGAGGUAAGGACUCGUCAAUCGGUUCAACCGGAGUUUCCUCCUCAGGUUGAGUGCCAACGGUAGAGGUUCCUUCAUCUAUCAAUUAUUGAAUCUCUUCAAGCUCGAUUUGCCUCCCACUGUCUCCUUGGCUUAUGAGUUCUCGCUCUCGGAAAACUCCUCUCCUCGCAACGAAGACAACAUUGUCCUUCGGUCUAUAGAAGAGAUAUCCAAAGGAUGUCUGCGGGUAGCCGAUGAAAAUACAUCGCUCACUUCGAGGUUCAAGCUUGUCGUGAGUAUCUCGUCUUACGAAAGCCUCGCAACCCCAAACCUUGAUAUGUGCCAACGAGGGAGCUUUCCCUGUCCACAUCUCGUGAGGUGUUUUGGCAACCUUCUUAGUAGGGACUCGGUUAAGGAUAUGGGCGGCAGUCUCUAAGGCAUACCCCCAAAAAGAGAUUGGUAGUGAAGCACGACUCAUCAUAGAGCGAACCAUAUCCAAUAAGGUUCGAUUACGCCUUUCUGCCACACCAUUCAACUGCGGUGUCCUAGGUGGCGUCAAUUGUGAAACUAUUCCACACUCCUUGAGAUAAUCGUGGAAUUCAAGACUUAGGUACUCUCCUCCUCGAUCGGAUCGAAGCAUCUUGAUUUUCCUGCCCAAUUGAUUCUCCACUUCAUUCUUGAACUCUUUGAACUUUUCAAACGUUUCUGACUUUUGCUUGAUUAAGUAGAUAUACCCAUAUCUACUAUAGUCAUCGGUAAAAGUCACAUAGAAGCGGUUUCCAUCCUUCGUGGUUGAUCUAAACGGUCCACAUACAUCGGUAUGUAUUAGGUCCAAUAGACCCUCACCCCUUUCACAUGUACUUGUGAAGGGUGACUUAGUCAUCUUUCCAAGUAAACAAGACUCGCAUGUGUCAUCUUCCCUAAGGUCGAAUGACUCCAACACUCCAUCCUUUUGGAGUUGGGCUAUGCGCUUCUUGUUGACAUGUCCAAGACGACAAUGCCACAAGGAUGCUCUAUCCAUACCAUUGGAAGAAUCCAUGCAUAAAACAUCAUUUCCUAAGUUAUCUACAAUCAUAACAGUUUCAUAAAUUCCAUUACAUGGUAUAGCUUCAAAAUAUAAGACACCAUUUAGAUAAGCAAGAAUAGAACCAUUCUCAUUAUUAAAAGAAAAUCUAAAACCUUGUCUAAACAAACCAUGAAAUGAAAUCAUGUUUCUAGCCAUUUCUAGUGAAUAGCAACAAUUGUUCAAAUAUAAAGACAAACCAUUCCUAAGCACUAAAGAAUACACUCCAAUCUUGGUUACAGGCGACGAUCUUUUGUUCCCCAUGAUUAGAUUUAUUCUUCCAUGCUCCACAUCCCUAUUUCUUCUUAGUCCCUGCAAUUCAGAACAAAUAUGGUAACCUCAACCGGUAUCAAGGACCCUAGAAAUAGCAUGAUAUGAAUCGUUAGAUUUAAUUGUAUAAAUACCUGCAAAAGAUGGCUUGAUCUUUCCUUCCCUUAUGGCUUGCAGGUAGUCUGGGCAGCUUCUCUUCUAAUGCCCUAUUUUAUGGCAUUGAUGGCACUCUGCCUCCUUAGGGUUAGGAAAGGGUUGAGCAAGAUCAACUUUGGUCCCACUAGAAGAUGAACCAUCUCGGGACUUUCCCUUGCGGUGGCUCCUAGACGGAGCCUUCCUCUUCUUGCCUCUUCCUUGCCCAAUGGCCAAAACAGGAGCAGCGGGUGGAUUGGGAGUGGGUGCAACAGACUUGUCCUUUAGGUUGCUUUCAGCAACCCUAAGGAGACCUUGGAGCUUGCUUAGGGUGACCUCUUCCUUGUUCAUGUGGUAGGUCAUCCUAAAUUGAUUGUAACACGGAGGCAAAGAGUGAAGCACCAUGUCGAUCGCCAAGUCUUCCCCAAAGUCAACAUUCAACUUGCGAAGACGAUCGACAUACCUUUGCAUCUUUUGCAGGUGCACGGUAAGAGAUUCUCCAUGACCCAUUUUAGCGGAAAUCAUGUUAGUGAAAAUCUCGUAACACUCUUGCCUCGCGUUCUGGUGGUAUCUCUCCAACAAGUCUUGGUGCAUUUCAUACGGAUACAUGUCCUCAUAGGACUUUUGGAAUUCGACAUUCAUGGUGGCUAUCAUGAUGCAAUGUACCUUCGUUGCAUCACGCUCGUGAGUUUCAAAAGUAGUCAUUUCAGCCGGAGUAGCGAUUUCUAGGUUGAUUUUCUCGAGCUUCUCAUCUAGGACAUACUCCUUGUCCUCAUAGCGAGCAAUCGUGCGAAUAUAUCUUAUCCAUUCGCUAAAGUUCGUCCCAUCGAACGUAACAUUUUGACAAAGGCUCAUCAAUGUGAAUGAACUAGCAGCAUCGUUGUUUGCGUUCGACAUCUACAAAUAGAAAGGACAAAGAUAGAUUAGAAUAUGAAUCCCUAAUUAUCAACCAAUAAGAAAAAUUAGCGCUAGGAUCCAACAACAAUGUUUACAUAUUAGAAAACGGAUGUCGUAAUCUAACAUGCAAACAAUUUGAAGGUAGGUGAAUGACGAUUCACUAAUUCUCCACCACAUAACUUUAAGUUCUAAAUGUAUUGAGAAUUCCUAGGUUUGGAUGAGAUACAUUGAAAACUUUUUAAUGGCAUGUUUAAAUCUCGAUAUGCCCCUCUCGUUUGUGACUGGGAUACCGAGGAUCACAAAGUGGGUGUGAAUUACCAUGCAAAUUUAC